rnacentral:rRNA from 1 species
AUUGAACGCUGGCGGCAGGCCUAACACAUGCAAGUCGAGCGGAGGAAGGGAGCUUGCUCCUGGAUUCAGCGGCGGACGGGUGAGUAAUGCCUAGGAAUCUGCCUGGUAGUGGGGGAUAACGUCCGGAAACGGGCGCUAAUACCGCAUACGUCCUGAGGGAGAAAGUGGGGGAUCUUCGGACCUCACGCUAUCAGAUGAGCCUAGGUCGGAUUAGCUAGUUGGUGGGGUAAAGGCCUACCAAGGCGACGAUCCGUAACUGGUCUGAGAGGAUGAUCAGUCACACUGGACCUGAGCCACGGUCCAGCCUCCUACGGGAGGCAGCAGUGGGGAAUAUUGGACACUGGGCGAAAGCCUGCUCCAGCCAUGCCGCGUGUGUGAAGAAGGUCUUCCGUUUGUAAAGCACUUUAAGUUGGGAGGAAGGGCAGUAAGUUAAUACCUUGCUGUUUUGACGUUACCAACCGAAUAAGCACCGGCUAACUUCGUG